rnacentral:rRNA from 1 species
UUUCAACAACGGAUCUCUUGGUUCUGGCAUCGAUGAAGAACGCAGCGAAAUGCGAUAAGUAAUGUGAAUUGCAGAAUUCAGUGAAUCAUCGAAUCUUUGAACGCACAUUGCGCCCGCCAGUAUUCUGGCGGGCAUGCCUGUUCGAGCGUCAUUUCAAC